rnacentral:rRNA from 1 species
UACGUAGGGGGCAAGCGUUGUCCGGAUUUAUUGGGCGUAAAGCGCUCGCAGGUGGUUCGUUGCGUCGUUGCGUGAAAGACCCCGGCUCAACUGGGGAGUGUCGUGCGAUACGGGCGAACUGGAGGCCAGUAGGGGGAUGCGGAAUUCCGGGUGUAGUGGUGGAAUGCGUAGAGAUCCGGAGGAACACCAGCGGCGAAGGCGGCAUCCUGGACUGGUCCUGACACUCAGGAGCGAAAGCGUGGGGAGCGAUCCGG